UCUGCCGUAAUGGCGAAAUAGUGCGAUACUGUUACGUUUAGUACGCGAGCGCGAUUUAAUCGGUCCGGACGGCAAAAGUAUCGGAACGUUCUUAUUUCUAUGCUGACGAAAUGUGGGAUGAUAAUUUUGGUGUUCAGUUUCUAGCUGUGGGAUUUAAAAAUUAGGUACAGGGAUUAAAAAAUUAGCUAAAUUAACUAAAUUUCAAUUGUAUUAUAUGGAUAGCUAACUUUUAUCCGUCGGAGUUAGUUUUCAGCUGUGAUUUAUUUUUUUCCCGUGCGGUGUUUCUCGCCAAGUGUUUUUCUGCUCGUCGAAAGCUGAACGCGCGUGUGUAAACGGGAGUGCCGGGAGUGCCGAAUGAAGUGACGCGCGAUCGCAUUGUACCACCGUUAAUCGAUGUCCGCAUUCGUAAUUAGCUGCGUUUUUCCGAACGAAUCGCAUCAGGGAGUGUGAGUGCCUUGGAUUAGUGGAGGUAGCAGUCGCCGGGGUUAUGGUGGAUGCAGAGGAUGGUCUUCGGGACGCUGAAUCACCGCCGUCGGGCAAUACUACUAUGG